rnacentral:rRNA from 1 species
GACAGAGGGUGCAAACGUUGUUCGGAAUUACUGGGCGUAAAGCGCGUGUAGGCGGCCAUGCAAGUCGGAUGUGAAAGCCCUCGGCUCAACCGGGGAAGUGCACUCGAAACUGCAAGGCUAGAGUCUCGGAGAGGAUCGUGGAAUUCUCGGUGUAGAGGUGAAAUUCGUAGAUAUUGGGAAGAACACCGGUGGCGAAGGCGGCCAUCUGGCCCGUAAUUGACGCUGAGGCGCGAAAGCGUGGGGAGCAAACAGG